ACGGCUUUUUGUAGCGAUUCAGAAAACCGGAAAAAUCAGUUAUCCGGAAUAGCGAUGGUCCCGAUCAUUCCGGAUAAUCGGUUCCCUACUGUAAAAGGAAAUUUGACUUGUCACUGCAAUCAGCCUUUUUAUUUAUAUUUGUUACGACACAAUUAGUGACGUGUCGUAAAUCUUCAGUAAGUAGGUUUAAAUUAUUUACAUGUAAUAAUAGUUAAAAUCAUUUUAAAUCAUAUUUAUUAAAACAAGAAUAUAUAAAUGUUAUGUAGCCACCAGAUUGAUUGUGAAAGCAAAAUUUUUUCAGGAGAGUUUGCAGUUCAAAAUUUUAUGAAUAUGCUUAUUAUAUAAAAGGUUAAAAAAAAAUAUUUAAAAAUUAGCUUACAAGAAUUACUUAAAAAUUACCAUUUCUCCUUAAAGUUGAAGGGAGUUUGCCUUCCAAUACAGUAAAACAAAAGUCAAAUUAAAAGUAUGGAGAAAAGAAAACACACACAAGUUAUAGCGGUUACCAUGAAAGCUUAUGAUAAGUUGUAAAGAAUAAAUUUUAUCAUUGAAAGUUUUGGAAGUGUUUCGAAGAGCUACAGCAGGCACUUUAUUCAAGCAUCAUUUGUUUCCUCUGGCCGCGGCAUCUCAUUCUGCAGAGCCCUCUUCAGGCGCUACGCUGGAGGCGUGUGUAUCUUGUGUUAUCAGAGUUGCAACAGGCGACUAUUUGCAACUAUUUUGCCUGAAAAGGCUAAAAAAGUAACUAUUUUCAGGAAGAGGAGACAAUUGUAAGACUUUUCAGUACUACUAGCAAUAUUUUUUAGCAUAAAUUGGGUUGGCAGCCCGUGGAAGCUUCUAAACACAGAUUUUUUUUUUGAAUAAAAAAUUUUGAAUUGCUAA